GAGAGUUCAGGAACACUGAAAAUAGUAAUCAUUUUAUUUCUUUCACACAACCUUAUCACUGUACAGAGGAAACAUCUGAGUCAGCUUCCCAGCUGCCAUUGGCAUGUAAGAAAAAUUGGAGCAGGAACCAGCAAUCUAGUGCUAGGACCACACGGAUUCAAACAGAGGCAGAAGCCAGCUCUUUCAAAACCAGCACCAUGUCACAGCAUCAGCAGCACAGGAGAGAAGUGCAGCCUCUGCUCUGACUGUAAGAUAUGUCUGGGCGGAUUUAGAGUAUACAUUAGUAUAUUAAAAAAAAAAAAAAAAAAAAGGAAAUCGCAGAAAAAUGUAGCUUCUCCCAUCCAGCCUGGAUUCUGAAAACUACUCAGGAAUGAAACUCCUCCCAGCAACAGCCAUGCACUACAUUAAGACUAAAGGCAGAACCUUUUUUUUUUUUUUUUUUGCUUUAAUAAUUAAUAGCAAAAUGCAACUAGGUAGCCAUGACAACAAGCGGGGCUGCUGGUGUGAAUGCUGUAUCCAAGGGAACAGUCUGGAAGCCGAGUGAGGGUCGUGGUGUGCCGGAGCCUAACCCAGCAAACACAGGGCACAAGGCGAGACUACACCCUGGACGGGACGCCAGUCCAUCGCAGGGCACCACACACACUUACACAGAGGGCAAUUUAGAGUGACCAAUCAACCUGGACAGCAUGUCUUUGGACUGUGGGAGGAAACCGGAGUACCCAGAGAAAACCCAAGUGAACACAGGGAGAACAUGCAAACUCCACACAGACAGUACCCUAGGCCGGAUUCGAACCCAGGACCCUGGCGCUGUGAAGCAGCAGCGCUAACCACUACGCCACCGUGCCACCCUAUCUUAUUUCACUUGUUUCUAAAAAGGACCCUGUAGCCUGCACUACAGUGUAUUCUAUAUUCUUGACAAUACUUAUGUAAUUUCCAAUGCUUAUACCUUACAUUUACCUCUCUUUACUAUAGUACUUAUCUGUGCUUUAUUAUUAUGCCAGUGCUUUUAUUAUGGCCUUACUACACUUUGUUAUUUUUUACUGUGGUAUACUGCAGCAUAUUUGUGUGGGUAAAGUUCUGUACAAAAACAGGACGACAUCAACAUCUUUAAUUAGUUUACACAUUCACACACGCACUCUCAUACACACAAACAGAAAUAUUCCUCAUACGAAACACAUACCUCUCCACACAGGACCCCCUUUGGACUUAACCACCCCGCUAAUGUAAACUUUUCAUGUUUAUGAAAAAUAAAACACAGCCCCAGCUCUAACCAGUGUUGAAUGGUUUUCUGUGGUUUACUCUUACUAUUCUUGUUUUGUAAGCUUUUACGGGGACAAAAGAGGCCUCUGGUGUAUGUUUUAAUAACGUGUUUGUUUUACAGCAUUUGUGUUAAUUGUGAAUGUGUUUAUGUGCCACAUAAAAAGUGGCAAAAAUUACAGUCUAUACACUAUAUAGGAAUAUGGUAAUAUAUAUUUUAUAUACUGUAUACAGUGCCUUGCGAAAGUAUUCGGCCCCCUUGAACUUUGCGACCUUUUGCCACAUUUCAGGCUUCAAACAUAAAGAUAUGAAACUGUAAUUUUUUGUGAAGAAUCAACAACAAGUGGGACACAAUCAUGAAGUGGAAUGAAAUUUAUUGGAUAUUUCAAACUUUUUUAACAAAUAAAAAACUGAAAAAUUGGGCAUGCAAAAUUAUUCAGCCCCUUUACUUUCAGUGCAGCAAACUCUCUCCAGAAGUUCAGUGAGGAUCUCUGAAUGAUCCAAUGUUGACCUAAAUGACUAAUGAUGAUAAAUAGAAUCAAGUGUAAUCAAGUCUCCGUAUAAAUGCACCUGCACUGUGAUAGUCUCAGAGGUCCGUUUAAAGCGCAGAGAGCAUCAUGAAGAACAAGGAACACACCAGGCAGGUCCGAGAUACUGUUGUGGAGAAGUUUAAAGCUGUAGUUUACUGUGGGUCCUUUAUGACUCUAUUUUGCAAGCAAGUGUAAAGGCUAGCCAUAUCAUAAGGAGGCAGUGCGGUCCAGAGAUUAAAGUCAGGCGCUUGUAACCAGGUCACUGGUUCAAAUCCCACUUUUGCCACUGACUCACUUUGUGACCCUGAGCAAGUCACUUAACCUCCUUGUGCUCCACUCUACUGUGGAUGAGAUGUUAAAUCAAUGUCCUAUUGUAAGUGACUCUGCAUACAAUGCACAAUUCACAGCCUACUUCUGAAAAAGCGCUUUAUAAAGAUGUUAUUAUUAUCAAUACAAUGCAUUACUUUGAUACAACUGAUCACAUUACAAAUCUUGACCUUUGUUGUUUCAAUGUUAGCAGCCAUUUAUACAGUAAGUAAAAGUAUAGAAAGUGUAUUCAAUAGUUUGUUUGAUAAUUGCAAGACCCAAGGCUGUAUUAUUUGAAUUGUGUCUGCGUAAUAAUUUAUAAAUGAAAUCUGUCAUACAUUGGAGUGGGUUUGAGAGAUGCUUCUAUCAAAUCAAUUUGAUCUUGGAUAUGGCUUCCAAAGAAAGGAAACAGUCUUGAAUUUCUCAGUAACUGGGUUUUUUUUGUCAAUUGUGUACAGUUAAAACAAAGAUUUGUUUUGUUUAUACACAGUAUUGAGUGCCAAAUCAAUCUGCCUCCAGCUCCUACUCCUUCCAAAAUCUCUAAACCUGACAGCACAGUUGCAAUGCAGCUCAAGCAAUAUCAGCCUCUAUUUACAUCUGAAUCAUAGCGAUCACAAGGAGCAGUCGGCGUGUAGCUAGAGCAACUAAACUGCAGUUCACUUUCCAAAGUAACCCACCUUCCACCCACUGCAGCAUUGCUGUAAUCAGCGACAGCCUCCCCGAUUGGAAACAGUUGCCUCAUGGUUUACACAACUUCCCUCCAGCUGGUUCUCACGAUUUUCUUUUCCUUGGGUGUUUUUCAAUGUCCUCUCUUGCUCUUUCUUUUUUUUUUAAAUAAGAAUAUUCAGCCCAUCAAUGCUUGUCUGGUUUCUAGAAUCUGAUUGUUCCGACAACUUUGUUUUGUCAACUCUUAAAAAGGAUCCUAAUGAC